rnacentral:rRNA from 1 species
AGAACGAACGCUGGCGGCAGGCCUAACACAUGCAAGUCGAACGCUCCGCAAGGGGAGUGGCAGACGGGUGAGUAACGCGUGGGAACAUACCCUUCGGUUCGGAAUAACUCAGGGAAACUUGAGCUAAUACCGGAUACGUCCAGAGUCUAAUCAACUUUGGAGAAAGAUUUAUCGCCGGAGGAUUGGCCCGCGUCCGAUUAGCUAGUUGGUGAGGUAACGGCCCACCAAGGCGACGAUCGGUAGCUGGUCUGAGAGGAUGAUCAGCCACAUUGGGACUGAGACACGGCCCAAACUCCUACGGGAGGCAGCAGUGGGGAAUAUUGGACAAUGGGCGAAAGCCUGAUCCAGCCAUGCCGCGUGAGUGAUGAAGGCCCUAGGGUUGUAAAGCUCUUUCGUCAGGGACGAUAAUGACGGUACCUGAAGAAGAAGCCCGGCUAACUUCGUGCCAGCAGCCGC